CAAACACACCGGGAAACACUUGCGUCAUGUGAUUCAGUGCACCCAAUCAGGAUUUCACUUCUCGAUCACAUGACGCCUAAGAUCCAAUAGAUAACAGGAAGACGCUGCACAAACACACGUGGGGGAAACACUUGCUGCACAGGCACCCGCUACCAUUGUAAUGACUGGGAGGACUGCCAAGGAGCAUUUCAUGUAUAUAUAUAUCGAAGUGAACUGGAAUCUCGAAUGCACCAUAAGUGAUGACACCGAAAUAAAGAAAUACCCUGUCUAACCAAGAAGACUUUCCCACACGGCCAGACAACAACUUCCUUACGUGGCGUUGGCCAGCUGUAUCACAAUAUCCACCCUGUUGCUUUGCGUCCAAACGUUUUCUGGAAACAUCGUCCAAUUUGAAAGCGACACCGUUAGCUUUUGGAUGCUAGCGUUGGCUGACUGAUGACAACCUGUUUACAACACGUUCAAUCAUUGGGGUGAAAAGGUUUGCAGUCAGUUCAUACUGAAAGAAGACUAGGUAGGACAGCUCUGACAGGGAAGUGCACUCAUCCAUUUUCUACCGCUCAUCGUGUUCGGGGUCACAAGGAAGAAAGCUGGAGUCUAUCCCAGAUGGGAUUACACCACGCGCUGACGGUCAGUCCAUCACAGGAAACAUCUAGUAUCUGACAAGACCUCCCAGAGGACGUCGGUCAACGUUUGUCAGCAAACGCCCUCAUCAGGACGAAACUUGGCAUAACCCAAUCGUCCACCGCAAGGAAAUGUCGACGUGGUUUCUGAUCAAAACAAGUCACACGGUGUUGAGAGGGUUGGAAGAAGAGGAAGUGCGUCGCUAUCGGGACUUGAGGGUGAAAACUGUGACCAAAGACUAACAGCGUCGGCCAUUUUUCAUCUGUUUGCCUUGAAGUGAACUUGUCAAGGUCUUUCCCCGCUCCUUGUUUUUGACGCUGUAGUAGUUAUUUCUCCAGAUGUACCCACAAGACACCGGCAGAGGAAGCACACCAGCCCGACUUUGAAAUGGCGAGGAAACCUGCGUGGGCGCAACAAUUUAUUUAGCGUCUUGUUCGCCGAUGGUGUCGGCAGCUUCAUUUACUCACAAGAGACGUCUUAAAUGUGGCAUGGGAAGGGGAAAAGCUCACUGUGGUUUCAUGUGGCGAGACGUUCAAGUGCGGCGCAGAACUUUUGACGAGUUGUGUUCACUGCCACUUCCUGUCAGCGUCGUGUUAUUUUCUUGUAUUAAAAUGCCCUUAAUAACUUACCAUUCAUUUAUACUCAUAAGUAAACAAGGUUUUGGACCAAUACAGUGAAGAAUUAA